UCCCUAGUGGCUCAGAUGGUAAAGCGUCUGUCUGCAAUGCAGGAAACCCGGGUUCAAUCCCUGGGUUAGGAA
rnacentral:tRNA from 1 species